AUUGAACGCUGGCGGUAUGCUUAACACAUGCAAGUCGAACGGUAGCAGGCCUUCGGGCGCUGACGAGUGGCGGACGGGUGAGUAACGCGUAGGAAUCUGCCUCAUAGUGGGGGACAACGUGGGGAAACUCACGCUAAUACCGCAUACGCCCUACGGGGGAAAGCGGGGGAUCUUCGGACCUCGCGCUAUGAGAUGAGCCUGCGUUAGAUUAGCUAGUUGGUAGGGUAAAGGCCUACCAAGGCGACGAUCUAUAGCUGGUCUGAGAGGACGAUCAGCCACACUGGGACUGAGACACGGCCCAGACUCCUACGGGAGGCAGCAGUGGGGAAUAUUGGACAAUGGGCGCAAGCCUGAUCCAGCAAUACCGCGUGUGUGAAGAAGGCCUUAGGGUUGUAAAGCACUUUCAAUUGGGAGGAAAACCUGUCGGUCAAUACCCGGCAGCUUGACAUUAUCUUUAGAAGAAGCACCGGCUAACUCCGUAGCCAGCAGCCGCGGUAAU
rnacentral:rRNA from 1 species